rnacentral:rRNA from 1 species
AGAGUUUGAUCCUGGCUCAGAUUGAACGCUGGCGGAAUGCUUUACACAUGCAAGUCGAACGGCAGCACGGGGGCAACCCUGGUGGCGAGUGGCGAACGGGUGAGUAAUACAUCGGAACGUGCCCAGUCGUGGGGGAUAACGCAGCGAAAGCUGUGCUAAUACCGCAUACGAUCUACGGAUGAAAGCGGGGGACUCGCAAGGGCCUCGCGCGAUUGGAGCGGCCGAUGGCAGAUUAGGUAGUUGGUGGGGUAAAGGCUCACCAAGCCUGCGAUCUGUAGCUGGUCUGAGAGGACGACCAGCCACACUGGGACUGAGACACGGCCCAGACUCCUACGGG